GCCAAUGUGGCUCAAUGGAUAGAGCAUCGCUUUCCUAUCGUAAGGUAUCAGGCGAAGGUUGUGGGUUCGAUCCCCAUCAUUGGUU